GUGCAGCACUACGGGCGCUUGUGUGGCAAUCCUCACCCUUCAUCCACCUGGUCUUUGAAUUUGACCAGAGAUGAGGCGAGCUGCUAUUGCCGAAACACAAUGCUGAGAUUGUACCGUUAGAACUCGAACAAGUUAAUGCUUGCGUGGGAAACGUGCUGCCGCUUCUCC
rnacentral:ncRNA from 1 species